rnacentral:rRNA from 1 species
CACGUGAGCAACUUGGCUCUAAGAGGGGGACAACAGUUGGAAACGACUGCUAAUACCGCAUAACGUAUCGGGAUGGCAUCUUCCUGAUACCAAAGAUUUUAUCGCUUAGAGAUGGGCUCGCGUCUGAUUAGAUAGUUGGCGGGGUAACGGCCCACCAAGUCGACGAUCAGUAGCCGGACUGAGAGGUUGAACGGCCACAUUGGGACUGAGACACGGCCCAGACUCCUACGGGAGGCAGCAGUGGGGGAUAUUGGACAAUGGGGGCAACCCUGAUCCAGCGACGCCGCGUGAGGGAAGAAGGUUUUCGGAUUGUAAACCUCUGUUGACGGAGAAAAAAAUGAUGGUAUCCGUUUAGAAAGCCACGGCUAACUACGUGCCAGCAGCCGCGGUAAUACGUAGGUGGCAAGCGUUGUCCGGAAUUACUGGGUGUAAAGGGAGUGUAGGCGGGAUAUCAAGUCAGAAGUGAAAAUUACGGGCUCAACUCGUAACCUGCUUUUGAAACUGACAUUCUUGAGUGAAGUAGAGGCAAGCGGAAUUCCUAGUGUAGCGGUGAAAUGCGUAGAUAUUAGGAGGAACACCAGUGGCGAAGGCGGCUUGCUGGGCUUUUACUGACGCUGAGGCUCGAAAGCGUGGGGAGC